rnacentral:rRNA from 1 species
AUGGCUAAGCUUGUGCUGCUCAUCCGAGGAGCUGCACUACUGCUUUGUCUAUUGAUCUUCCAAGUAACAUCCACUUCCCAUGGCCAAGCGAGUGGGUCGGGAGCCUGCAUCAGCAGCGAGCGAGAUGCGCUUCUGUCCUUCAAGGCAAGCCUCCUCGACCCUGCUGGCCAUCUCUCGUCAUGGCAGGGUGAGGAUUGUUGCCAGUGGAAGGGAGUCCGGUGUAGCAACAGAACGGGCCAUCUCAUCAAGCUCAACCUCCGCAACAUCGACAUGAAAGACAUGUACACCAUGUACGACUACAGCUACAAAAUGGUUGACUACAGCUACCCGAACUGGAGCAGAUCAUUGAGCUUGUCGGCAGGCGAGAUGAGCUCUUCUUUGGCUACUCUACAACACCUGAGGUAUCUUGAUCUGAGCGGGAAUGACUUCAAUGGCACAAGCAUCCCUGUGUUCUUAGCUUCUCUCAAGAACCUAAGGUAUCUCAACCUCUCGUGGACAGGAUUCAGUGGGAGAAUACCUUCCCAACUUGGCAAUCUCUCAAAGUUGCAAUAUCUUGAUCUCAGUUGGAAUUAUGAUUAUUAUGUGAAUACGCCUUACAUAGUGGAUCUUGCAUGGUUGCCACGUCUCUCUUCGUUGAGGCAUCUUGACAUGAGUUUUGCUGAUCUUGGUUCUGCGAGAGAUUGGUUUCGGAGUGUUAAUAUGCUUCCUUCUCUUAAAGUGCUUGGCUUGUCCGGUUGUGGACUCAACAGCACCAUGUUUGCUAGUAUAUCACUUUCCAACCUCACACAUCUCGAAGUCCUUCAUAUGUCUGAUAACAACUUCUAUACUUCACUCAAGCAUGCAUGGUUUUGGAAUCUCAAAAGCCUUAAGGAACUUUACCUCUCCGGUUCCAGCUGGAUAGGGUCUAUUCCUAGUGAUUUGGCAAACAUGACGGCCCUUCAAGUCAUAGAUUUAAGUGGGAAUCAGCUCAUGGGUUUGAUACCAGAAAAAUUGGAAAAUUUGUGCAAUUUGACCAGAAUGAGGUUCAGUGGUAACAACAUAGGUUCGAGCAUAGGGGAGUUCAUGAGGCGAUUACCAAAGUGCUCAUGGAAUACAUUGCAAGAAUUUUCGGUGCAGGAUGCAAAUAUGAUCGGGAAUCUUCCCAGUUGGAUUGGUAACAUGACCAAUCUCAGUGUUCUUCAUGCAUCUAAAAACAUGUUGAGUGGCUCUCUACCUGUAGGAGUUGGAGCACUGAGUAAUUUGAAAAGUCUGAUCCUUGGGAACAAUAACUUCAGCGGUGUGCUCUUGAAAGAACAAUUUGCAAAUUUAGGGAAAUUAGAGCUUUUGGACCUCAGCCACAAUAACUUCAACGGUGUGCUUUUGAAAGAACAAUUCGCAAAUUUAGGGAAAUUAGAGCUUUUGGACCUCAGCCACAAUAACUUCAGCGGUGAGCUAUUGAAAGAACAUUUUGCAAGUUUAGGCGCCUUAAAGAGUUUGAACCUUAGUUGCAAUAACUUCAGUGGUGUGCUCUCCAAUGAACAAUUUGCAAGGUUAUUUGGAGGAUUGCCAGAAUGGUUACCCCAAAAAAUGCCACACAUGAAAAUAUUAAGAGUGAGAUCAAAUAUGUUCAGUGGUCAUAUUCCUAAGAGUCUCACUUCCCUUCACGAUCUUCAUUAUUUGGACAUAGCACACAACAAGAUAACAGGAACCAUACCAUGGUCUUUGUCAAACCUGAAGGCAAUGAUGACAGUGGUGUCGCAGGACACGGGGGAUUAUAUUUAUGAAGAGAGCAUACCAGUAAUCACAAAGGACCAAAAGCGUGACUACACCUUUGCAAUUUACCAGCUAUUGGUUGUUCUUGAUUUGUCAAGUAAUAGUUUGGGGGAACAGGUUCCAGAGGAGAUAACUUUACUUGUUGGGCUUACCAAUCUGAACUUGUCAAAUAAUCAACUCAUAGGAGCAAUCCCAAAACAAAUUGGUGAUUUAAGGCAGUUGGACUCACUCGACCUAUCCUUCAAUGAGUUUUCUGGUGCAAUACCAUCAAGUUUGUCAGCUUUAACUUAUUUGAGCCACUUGAACUUGUCGUACAACAAUCUGUCCGGUGCAAUACCAUCCGGACAACAGCUACAAGCUCUUGAUAACCAGAUGUAUAUCUACAUUGGUAACCCUGAUCUUUGUGGAGAUCCUGUUGGCAGGAACUGCUCAACACAUGACGCAGAGCAAAGUGGCCUCGAAGAUAUAGAUCAUAUGCCAUCUGUUUAUCUUGCCAUGAGCAUUUGA